rnacentral:rRNA from 1 species
CACGCCGUAAACGAUGAGUGCUAGGUGCUGCGGGUAUUGACCCCUGCGGUGCCGUAGCUAACGCGUUAAGCACUCCGCCUGGGGAGUACGGCCGCAAGGCUAAAACUCAAAGGAAUUGACGGGGGCCCGCACAAGCGGUGGAGCAUGUGGUUCAAUUCGACGCAACGCGCAGAACCUUACCUGGGUUAAAUCCACUCAAAGCUGGCAGAGAUGUCGGGGUGCCCUUCGGGGAAUGAGUGAGAAGGUGC